rnacentral:rRNA from 1 species
UAUUACCGCGGCUGCUGGGGAAUAUUGCACAAUGGGCGCAAGCCUGAUGCAGCCAUGCCGCGUGUAUGAAGAAGGCCUUCGGGUUGUAAAGUACUUUCAGCGGGGAGGAAGGCGAUGCGGUUAAUAACCGCGUCGAUUGACGUUACCCGCAGGAGAAGCACCGGCUAACUCCGUGCCAGCAGCCGCGGUAAUA